rnacentral:rRNA from 1 species
CAGCCGUAAACUAUGCGCGUUAGGUGUAUCGGUGACCACGAGUUACCGAGGUGCCGAAGGGAAACCGUGAAACGUGCCGCCUGGGAAGUACGGUCGCAAGGCUGAAACUUAAAGGAAUUGGCGGGGGAGCACCACAACAGGUGGAGCCUGCGGUUUAAUUGGACUCAACGCCGGGAAGCUCACCGGAUAGGACAGCAGAAUGAUUGCCGGGCUGAAGACCCUGCAUGACUAGCUGAGAGGUGGUGCAUGGCGUCAGUGACUGU